GACGAACGCUGGCGGCGUGCUUAACACAUGCAAGUCGAACGGAAAGGCUCCUGCUUGCAGGGGUACUCGAGUGGCGAACGGGUGAGUAACACGUGGGUGAUCUGCCUUGUACUCUGGGAUAAGCUUGGGAAACUGGGUCUAAUACCGGAUAGUAGCCGCCUUUAGUGUGGUGGUUGGAAAGUUUUUUCGGUGCAAGAUGAGCUCGCGGCCUAUCAGCUUGUUGGUGGGGUAAUGGCCUACCAAGGCGUCGACGGGUAGCCGGCCUGAGAGGGUGUACGGCCACAUUGGGACUGAGAUACGGCCCAGACUCCUACGGGAGGCAGCAGUGGGGAAUAUUGCACAAUGGGCGGAAGCCUGAUGCAGCGACGCCGCGUGGGGGAUGACGGCCUUCGGGUUGUAAACUCCUUUCGACAGGGACGAAGCUUUUUUGUGACGGUACCUGUAUAAGAAGCACCGGCUAACUACGUGCCAGCAGCCGCGGUAAUACGUAGGGUGCGAGCGUUGUCCGGAAUUACUGGGCGUAAAGAGCUCGUAGGUGGUUUGUCGCGUCGUCUGUGAAAUUCCGGGGCUUAACUCCGGGCGUGCAGGCGAUACGGGCAUAACUUGAGUGCUGUAGAGGAGACUGGAAUUCCUGGUGUAGCGGUGAAAUGCGCAGAUAUCAGGAGGAACACCGAUGGCGAAGGCAGGUCUCUGGGCAGUAACUGACGCUGAGGAGCGAAAGCAUGGGUAGCGAACAGGAUUAGAUACCCUGGUAGUCCAUGCCGUAAACGGUGGGCGCUAGGUGUAGGGGGCUUCCACGUCUUCUGUGCCGUAGCUAACGCAUUAAGCGCCCCGCCUGGGGAGUACGGCCGCAAGGCUAAAACUCAAAGGAAUUGACGGGGGCCCGCACAAGCGGCGGAGCAUGUGGAUUAAUUCGAUGCAACGCGAAGAACCUUACCUGGGCUUGACAUACACCAGAUCGCUGCAGAGAUGUAGUUUCCCUUGUGGUUGGUGUACAGGUGGUGCAUGGUUGUCGUCAGCUCGUGUCGUGUGAUGUUGGGUUAAGUCCCGCAACGAGCGCAACCCUUGUCUUAUGUUGCCAGCAUUUGGUUGGGGACUCAUGAGAGACUGCCGGGGUUAACUCGGAGGAAGGUGGGGAUGACGUCAAAUCAUCAUGCCCCUUAUGUCCAGGGCUUCACACAUGCUACAAUGGUCGGUACAACGCGCAGCGGCACUGUGAGGUGGAGCGAAUCGCUGAAAGCCGGCCUUAGUUCGGAUUGGGGUCUGCAACUCGACCCCAUGAAGUCGGAGUCGCUAGUAAUCGCAGAUCAGCAAUGCCGCGGUGAAUACGUUCCCGGGCCU
rnacentral:rRNA from 1 species